AUACCAGCCCCGCGAGCGGUCGGGACGCUUAUUGGGCCUAAAGCGCCCGUAGCCGGCCCGGCAAGUCCCCCCCUAAAGCCCCGGGCUCAACCCGGGGAGUGGGGGGGAUACUGCCGGGCUAGGGGGCGGGAGAGGCCGAGGGUACUCCCGGGGUAGGGGCGAAAUCCGAUAAUCCCGGGAGGACCACCAGUGGCGAAGGCGCUCGGCUGGAACGCGCCCGACGGUGAGGGGCGAAAGCCGGGGGAGCAAACCGGAUUAGAAACCCUAGUAGUCC
rnacentral:rRNA from 1 species